GUUUUUGGAGACUUUUGGAGGUGUUAGGGUCAAAAGAUGAAGAAUUUCAAGGUUUUGUGAAAUGGGUUGCUCUGUAAGUGCCAUGGAAGAUAAAAAACGUGAAUUUAUUGUGGUGAAUGGUUUCAGUUUUGAAGAGAGGGAGAAAAAUCCGAGAUUUGGGUAGUGGUUUUGUGAAAUGGGUUGUUGUGCAAGUGUUAUGAAAGAUAAAAACCUGAAUUUAUUAGUGUUGUUGAUGGUAGUGAUUUAGUGAUGAGAAGAAGAAGAAUAUGAUGAUGAUGAUGG
rnacentral:lncRNA from 1 species